UGUGCUCAGUGAAUUCAUGUUUAUUUGCAUAGUACUUUUCACAGUUAACAUUGUAUCAAAGCAGCUUUACAGAAAAUCUCAUUUUAAUGUCUGUAAUCUAAUACAUGUAAUAAACUCCCCAGUGAGCAGUGUCAUCGAAAAACCCAACCUAGUUUUAUAGAAUGAAUUUUACUAUAACUACAUUUUUGCAAACUGACUUUUACGUGCUGCAUUCUAUGUUGUAGUUUUAUUCUACUGCAGUUUCCAGGUGAAAUGAACACUAGAGGCACUACAACAACUGUGUGUUUUAUAAACCUUUUACACAAAUCAUGACUACAACUGAUUGUGGCAUUAUAAACACAUAUUUUUCACACUAUUACUCACACACUGCUAUGUUAUGAAAUCAAAACACUUUUACUAUGACACAUAAUUUGAAAAACUAUACAUUUUAACUCUGCACACUUAAUCCAAGGUGAUUACCUUCCAUGGUAACUCACCUAAUAGAGUGUUGGAUUUAGGAAUCGGAAGACUGCGGUUCGAGAACAGUCAAGAAAGAGUGCCAGAAGCAACACGAAAUGACGUGGUUGCUUCAAAAAAUUUGCUCAUUUUGUUUUUGGACACUAUCGGUUAGGGAUGUCUUUUUUGUGUCUACCACUCAUUUAAUUUUAGAUCACUUUUGGUUGGAUUUAGGUUAAAGUUUUAGGUUAUGUAGGUAUGUUUUACUCAUUUAAACCUCCAUCAAAUAUUCACCAUAAAAACCAAUUUUCAUGAGACCAGUCUGGAAAAAUUUCCAGACUUUUUUAAAGCCACUUGUGAGCAAGCUAAAGCGUCUGUGGCAAAGAACAAAAACUCCAAUUACAGCCCUUCCCUUACGGGGCCCAUAAAUCAUCCCCAGGCUGCACUAGUGGGAUUGUCUUUGUAAUAAUUAUUGCAUUAAAUAUUUACUUGCCAAUAUUACUGGCCAGUUGGCAGGUAACCUUUUAGGCAUUGCAACAUAGGCAAGUACACAUUUUAAUUACAAUUGAAGAACAAUAGCCUGACCCUCGGUGAUAGAAGCAAAUCGAACCAAAGAAAUAUACUAUACCAGAGACUGUAUAUAAUGAGAUGGAUCACUGGUAUAGUUAUUAUUGGAAGCUCUAGGAAUGGAAGUCCCGCCUUACAUUAAAAGAGCCAAUCACUUUUUUGGGAGAGACAUCGUCUGUCAGUUUUCAUCAAGAAAGUGCCCAAAGUUCACCCAAAAAAAGUUCUCUCAUCUUUUUCUUAUUUUCAUGCCAUCCCAGAUGUUGUAUUCUUUCCUCUGCUUAAAAGAAGAUUUUUAGAAGAAUAUCUCAGUUCUGUAGGUCCAUGCAAUGCAAGUGAAUGGUGACCAGACCUUUCAAGCUCCAAAAAUCGAAUAAAAUAAAAAUAAAAUAAAAGUAAUGCAUACGACUCCAGUGGUUUAAUACAUGUCUUCUGAAGUGAUGCAAUCACUUUGGGUAAGAAACAGAUCAAUAUUUAAAUCCUUUGAAAUACACAAGCUAUACGACAGUGGAGAUUAGCAGUUCUUUGAGCCAGACUAAAUGUGGGUCUCAUUGGCACAUCUUGUUAAGCAUUGAGAGUUGGUUGGCAUUAGUCACACGACUGACAGCAUGAGAAUUUAUGUGUGUUGCCCUCCAAAGGGUACCCUCUUUCACAUCGCUGGGAUCAUGAUGAAAGCCUAGUCAGUGGGACAAGCCGAUGACGUUUAAGCAUUCCACAAUCUUUUGUCUCCUCUCUCCGGCACGCUCGCUCACUUUCUUUCUCUUGUUCCCACUGUGUCACUGUCAGCCAACAUCAACUGUCCAUCGUAUCUCAUCCUGCUUCACAUUGCUUAAUCUCCUUUUCCUUUCCUCCUUACUCAUCUGUUUUUCUGUCGUGAAAUCCCUCCCUUCGAAAAAACAGGCCAAAAACAGCCCUCCCGUCAGCCCUGUGACGCAGGAGGAGGGUAAAAGGGGGUCUAGGAAGGGGAGGUCCAGUGCUGUCCAGUGUAACAGCAGGUCUCCAGUAAAGGGGAGGGUGAUGAGUUUGGCCUUUGGACAGCUUGUGACGCUGCUCCCUUGUGAGAUAUCAGACGAGCCUGACAAAGACACUGAGAAUGCAGAAUGUCUCUGGUCUUCUGUCUCCUGGGUACCUUUUUUUAGCAACAAAGAAUGAGCUAAAAAUAGCUCCACUCACUUGCAUUCUCUUUCCUUUGUUCCAUCAUUCUUUAGUUCUGUUUCAAUUGUCCCUUAUGAGGUUCCUUAGAGAGCAAGAGAGAGAGGAAGAGAGAAUGAGAGAGAUCAGCAUAGUGACCAGACCUGUUUACAUACUGUUUCCAUCCGCCUGUUUUUGUUUUUGUUACUUUUUGGCUCCCCCUUGUUUAUGUUCAGCCCUCUCCAUCUGACACCUACUCUUCUGCCGAGAUGAAGAGAGAUGGUGAAAGAUGGUUAAAGAGACAGAAGCGGUAAACCCAGAGAAACAGACAGAGACAUAGAGACAGACAGGCUGAGAAACUGAGAUGGUGAGCAAUACAGACAGGACAUAUACAAUGACAGAUGGAUGCAUCGGACCGAGGGUUGGGAGGUUGGGAGCUCUCUCAGGGAGCUCCUGGCCUGAUUUGGGUGAAGGGGUAUGUGGUGAUGUGUGCGUGGCUGAGCGACGUCUGUGGAGAGCGAGGCCAAGAGAGUAAGAGCGAGCCAUUAACACACUCACUUACUCUGACGUCUUUGGAGCGGUACAGGAGUUGGGAAAGGUGAAAGGGGGGUGAGAGGGUUCCCAGAUGUGGCUGGAUUGGACACACCUCUGUCACAAAGAAUGGGAGCAGUCAGAGAGGGUCAAAGGACACUAAAACAUCCUCUCAUAAGGAUGAACUUUCUGUAUACACCGUCCCACGAAUGCACACACAUUCAUCUUCCAGCAGUCACUCUUCCUCUUGUUUCCUUAUUUCUUUCUCAACACUGACACUGUGUAAUUCCCUCUGGGAUAUUUUUGAGAUGAUAGAGAAAUUACUCAUUUAUAUAAAUUUGUGUUUCAGCUGGUAUCCUUUCUGUUUUCCUAUUCGGUGUCAUAUAUAUGUUGCCGAACUGUUGAUAUUUGUGUGUGUGUGUUCAUGACUGAGGCAGAGAUAGGCCAGAAUGCAAUAAAAUAACAAUUUGGCGAUUAUAAUUUGAGAACAGCCAACAUGUUUUUGAACAACUGGAGAACAGAGUAACUUUAAACAAAUUUGAUUUAUUUAACUACUUACUAAUGAACUUUAAACAUCCUUGUGUUUAUCAAAAUUAUUAAAAAAAUGUUUUUACCUAUUUAGACUGGUAGAAAUUUGCUCCAUAACACUGUCAAAUAAACUUACAAUUAUUUGUUCCUCCACCCCCCCCCCACUUACAUCCACAUUUAUAAUCUUAAUCAUUCUACAUUUUUGAAGACGUUUUCCAUUUAAGUCUGCUAACUAAAUGACUCCACAAAUAAUGCAAAUCUGCAGUCUGGCAGUAAAACCAAAAUGGACUAAAACCAAAUGAUCAUAUGUUGCAAAUGAUGGUUGCUGCUGUUGUAAGGUUUUG